CCUACGGGCGGCAGCAGUGGGGAAUAUUGGGCAAUGGGGGCAACCCUGAUCCAGCCAUGCCGCGUGUGUGAAGAAGGCCCUCGGGUUGUAAAGCACUUUCAGUGAGGAAGAACGCCUGGUGGUUAAUACCCAUCAGGAAAGACAUCACUCACAGAAGAAGCACCGGCUAACUCCGUGCCAGCAGCCGCGGUAAUACGGAGGGUGCGAGCGUUAAUCGGAAUUACUGGGCGUAAAGCGCGCGUAGGUGGCUUGAUAAGCCGGUUGUGAAAGCCCCGGGCUCAACCUGGGAACGGCAUCCGGAACUGUCAAGCUAGAGUGCAGGAGAGGAAGGUAGAAUUCCCGGUGUAGCGGUGAAAUGCGUAGAGAUCGGGAGGAAUACCAGUGGCGAAGGCGGCCUUCUGGACUGACACUGACACUGAGGUGCGAAAGCGUGGGUAGCAAACAGGAUUAGAUACCCGGGUAGUC
rnacentral:rRNA from 1 species